AACGAACGUUGGCGGCGUGGAUUAGGCAUGCAAGUCGGGGGAAUCUCCCGCAAGGGAGGGAACCGGCGUAAGGGGCAGUAAGGCGUGGGUACCUACCCCGGGGUUCGGGAUAGCUGUCCGAGAGGGCAGGUAAUACCGGAUGACCUCGUGAGAGCAAAGAUUUAUCGCCCUGGGAGGGGCCCACGUGAUAUUAGGUAGUUGGCGGGGUAAUGGCCCACCAAGCCUGGGAUGUCUAGCAGGUGUGAGAGCACGACCUGCGCCACUGGCACUGAGACACUGGCCAGACACCUACGGGUGGCUGCAGUCGAGGAUCUUCGGCAAUGGGCGCAAGCCUGACCGAGCGACGCCGCGUGUGCGAUGAAGGCCUUCGGUUGUAAG
rnacentral:rRNA from 1 species